UACGAAGGGGGCUAGCAUUGUUCGGAAUUACUGGGCGUAAAGCGCACGUAGGCGGAUAUUUAAGUCAGGGGUGAAAUCCCAGAGCUCAACUCUGGAACUGCCUUUGAUACUGGGUAUCUUGAGUAUGGAAGAGGUGAGUGGAAUUCCGAGUGUAGAGGUGAAAUUCGUAGAUAUUCGGAGGAACACCAGUGGCGAAGGCGGCUCACUGGUCCAUUACUGACGCUGAGGUGCGAAAGCGUGGGGAGCAAACAGG
rnacentral:rRNA from 1 species